rnacentral:rRNA from 1 species
UGAAGUCGAACGUGAAAGGGGGCAACCCUGAGUAAAGUGGCGUACGGGUGAGUAACGCGUAGGUAAUCUACCAGAGAGUCUGGAAUAACCUGCCGAAAGGCGGGCUAAUACUGGAUAGAGCGACGGAAUCCGUAAUUGGGUUUUUCGGGAAAGGGAGGACGCAAGUCCCUUCGCUCUCUGAUGAGCCUGCGUCUCAUUAGCUAGUUGGUGGGGUAAUGGCCCACCAAGGCAUUGAUGGGUAGCUGGUCUGAGAGGAUGAUCAGCCACACUGGAACUGAAACACGGUCCAGACUCCUACGGGAGGCAGCAGUGGGGAAUCUUGCGCAAUGGACGAAAGUCUGACGCAGCCACGCCGCGUGAGUGAAGAAGGCCUUCGGGUUGUAAAGCUCUGUCGGGCGGGACGAAAAGAGUCUGGGUUAACAGCCCAGGGUCCUGACGGUACCGCCAAAGGAAGCACCGGCUAACUUCGUGCCAGCAGCCGCGGUAAUACGAGGGGUGCAAGCGUUGCUCGGAAUUAUUGGGCGUAAAGGGUAGGUAGGUGGUCUCAUUUGUCCGGGGUGAAAGCCUUGAGCUUAACUCAAGAAGUGCCCCGGAAACGGUGAGACUAGAGUCCUGGAGAGGGUCGUGGAAUUCCCGGUGUAGCGGUGAAAUGCGUAGAGAUCGGGAGGAACACCAGAGGCGAAGGCGGCGACCUGACAGGCACUGACACUCAACUACGAAAGCGUGGGGAGCAAACAGGAUUAGAUACCCUGGUAGUCCACGCCGUAAACGAUGGGUACUAGAUUAGUGGGUCUUGACCCCCGCCGAAUCGGCGCUAACGCACUAAGUACCCCGCCUGGGAGUACGGUCGCAGACUAAAACUC